rnacentral:rRNA from 1 species
AUUGAACGCUGGCGGCAUGCCUUACACAUGCAAGUCGAACGGCAGCACGGGUGCUUGCACCUGGUGGCGAGUGGCGAACGGGUGAGUAAUACAUCGGAACGUACCUUAUCGUGGGGGAUAACGCAGCGAAAGCUGUGCUAAUACCGCAUACGCCCUGAGGGGGAAAGCGGGGGAUCGCAAGACCUCGCGCGAUCAGAGCGGCCGAUGCCUGAUUAGCUAGUUGGUGGGGUAAAAGCCCACCAAGGCGACGAUCAGUAGCUGGUCUGAGAGGACGAUCAGCCACACUGGGACUGAGACACGGCCCAGACUCCUACGGGAGGCAGCAGUGGGGAAUUUUGGACAAUGGGGGCAACCCUGAUCCAGCAAUGCCGCGUGAGUGAAGAAGGCCUUCGGGUUGUAAAGCUCUUUUGUCAGGGAAGAAACACCGGCUCUAGCACAGUCCGGGAAUGACGGUACCUGAAGAAUAAGCACCGGCUAACUACGUGCCAGCCGCCGCCGUAA